UUCUGAAAGGAAGAUUAAUCGAGGAUGGGAUCAUGAGUUCACAUGUCCGCAUGAUUAAAGGUAUUUUCCGGUAGACGAUGGGGAUGCGUUCCAUUAGAUAGUAGGCGGGGUAACGGCCCACCUAGUCAACGAUGGAUAGGGGUUCUGAGAGGAAGGUCCCCCACAUUGGAACUGAGACACGGUCCAAACUCCUACGGGAGGCAGCAGUGAGGAAUAUUGGUCAAUGGGCGAUGGCCUGAACCAGCCAAGUAGCGUGAAGGAUGACUGCCCUAUGGGUUGUAAACUUCUUUUAUAAAGGAAUAAAGUCGGGUAUGCAUACCCGUUUGCAUGUACUUUAUGAAUAAGGAUCGGCUAACUCCGUGCCAGCAGCCGCGGUAAUACGGAGGAUCCGAGCGUUAUCCGGAUUUAUUGGGUUUAAAGGGAGCGUAGAUGGAUGUUUAAGUCAGUUGUGAAAGUUUGCGGCUCAACCGUAAAAUUGCAGUUGAUACUGGAUGUCUUGAGUGCAGUUGAGGCAGGCGGAAUUCGUGGUGUAGCGGUGAAAUGCUUAGAUAUCACGAAGAACUCCGAUUGCGAAGGCAGCCUGCUAAGCUGCAACUGACAUUGAGGCUCGAAAGUGUGGGUAUCAAACAGGAUUAGAUACCCUGGUAGUCCACACGGUAAACGAUGAAUACUCGCUGUUUGCGAUAUACGGCAAGCGGCCAAGCGAAAGCGUUAAGUAUUCCA
rnacentral:rRNA from 1 species